GCCCUGCUGCCCUGUAGUCCUGCUGGGGUGCCAUACCUGUUGCCCUGACGCCCUGCAAGAUCUGCAGCCCUGCCUCCCUGCUGCCCUGUAGCAUUGCUGCCCUGCUGCCCUGCUGCUCUUCUGCCCUGCAACCCUGCCUACCUACUGCCUUGCAUCCCUGCCGCACUGUGAGGCUUGUAGCAUUGCCGCCCUACACCCUGAACCCUGCAGCCCUGGGAGGCCUGUAGCCCUGCAGCCCUGCUGCUCUUCAGCCCUUCUGCCCUGCUGUCCUGCAUCCCUGAUGCCCUGUUGCCAUGCAGCCCUCCGAGGCCUGCCACCCUUCCACCCUGCUGCCCUACCUCCCUGCAGCCCUGCCGCCCUGGUAGGCCUACAGCCAUGCCGCCCUGCUGCCUGGCCACUCAGUGACCCUGAGAGGCCUGCAGCCCUGCCGCAAUGCUUCCCUGCUGCCUUGCCACCCUGCUACCCUGCAGCCCUUCCAGCAUGCUUCUCUGCAGCCCUACUGCCCUGCUGCCCUGCAGCCCUGCUGCCCUGCAAGGCCUGCAGCCCGGUCACCAGUGUCACCCACCCGGCCUUUAAGGUUUCUGAGCAGACACUGGACCCUGACCUGACUGGACGCUGCCUCCUCCGGCUCCCUCUCACUUACAGCUUUGUGCAAAUGACUAUCACUGGACAACUCUUUCAUGGAGGACAUUCUGGAAAUUCUAGAAGAAACUUUGAGGAUGGUGUUUCAACAACAGGGAAUCUGAAGACUUCCUUUAAUGGCACAUCUCUUUAUGAUUCAGAUAUUGGUAAACAACACUAUCACCUUUUUUUCUGA
rnacentral:lncRNA from 1 species